GACGAACGCUGGCGGCGUGCUUAACACAUGCAAGUCGAACGGAAAGGCCCUGCUUUUGUGGGGUGCUCGAGUGGCGAACGGGUGAGUAACACGUGAGUAACCUGCCCUUGACUUUGGGAUAACUUCAGGAAACUGGGGCUAAUACCGGAUAGGAGCUCCUGCUGCAUGGUGGGGGUUGGAAAGUUUCGGCGGUUGGGGAUGGACUCGCGGCUUAUCAGCUUGUUGGUGGGGUAGUGGCUUACCAAGGCUUUGCCGGGUAGCCGGCCUGAGAGGGUGACCGGCCACAUUGGGACUGAGAUACGGCCCAGCCUCCUACGGGAGGCAGCAGUGGGGAAUAUUGCACAAUGGGCGGAAGCCUGAUGCAGCAACGCCGCGUGCGGGAUGACGGCCUUCGGGUUGUAAACCGCUUUCGCCUGUGACGAAGCGUGAGUGACGGUAAUGGGUAAAGAAGCACCGGCUAACUACGUG
rnacentral:rRNA from 1 species